rnacentral:sRNA from 1 species
UGAAUGUGUGUCCUAUGAGUCCAUUUGCU